rnacentral:rRNA from 1 species
GCCUUUGCCGCCCGGUCCGCCUAUUUGGUGUGUACUGGAGCGGUGGAGGCCUACCUCGUGGUGAACGGUCAUGCUCUUUACUGGGUGUGGCCGGGAACCAUGACUUUUACCUUGAAAAAAUUAGAGUGUUUAAAGCAGGCCUACGCUUGAAUACAUUAGCAUGGAAUAAUAGAAUAGGAC